rnacentral:lncRNA from 1 species
AUGCUUGGUCCUCGUGGGUCUGGAGCAGAUGCUGGCUCUGGAGAGAGAGGAGCAGUGCCUGGUGCAGAGCACAGCCUCAGCCCCAGGCUCCUGGAGGAUUUCAGUGUCCACACCCUCUAUGACAAGCUGGAGGAUCAGAAUUUGCACCUGGCCUCUCAGCUGGCAAAGCACAGGAUGGACGUGCUGGUGUUCCACAACGGGAUCAGCCACAGGAUCCAGAGCCUGGUGGACACGGUGCAAGCUCUGGACUGGGAAGGCCUGAAAACCUUUUCCAGGCGAGGGAUUUGUGGGCAGAAAGCUGCAGAGCAGAGCUGGGCAGCAGUGGGUGCAGAUCACUGGAACAACAACUUCCAGGCAGGUGCCCCGUGGCAAGAGGUGACAGAGUUAAUGAGAGCUCUGGAAGUGCUGCUUGGGAACGUUCCUGACGGGAGCAGGGCUGCAAACCCAGAGAUGGAGCUCAGGAUCCAAGCACAGGCUGCACUGGGAGCUGUGCCCUCCCUGCACAGCCUGGCCAGUGAAAAUAAAUCCGAAGGGCAGGAUCCUGAGCUGUUGAGCAGGAAAGAUCCUUUUUCCAGCCUGCCUGGGCAUGAAGAGCACGGUUUAGCUCUCCAGUUGGUUUAUCUGACUGAGCUGGAGGUCGAGGGUCUGGUGGCAGCUUCCCCCCUUGCCAAGACCCUGUGUGAGAUCAAGGAAGCUUUGGUCAAUCUGCAGCAACCCUCAACCCUUGGUAAUUCAGACAGCAAACAUCAAUCCAGCCUGGGGAGCUCAGGAUUCUGACUGCUGGAUUCCUGGGAUGAAGCCCUGCAGCUGGAAUAAAGAGGAGCUGCAUUCUCA